rnacentral:rRNA from 1 species
UACGUAGGGUGCGAGCGUUAAUCGGAAUUACUGGGCGUAAAGCGUGCGCAGGCGGUGCUGUAAGACCGAUGUGAAAUCCCCGGGCUUAACCUGGGAACUGCAUUGGUGACUGCAGCGCUGGAGUAUGGCAGAGGGGGGUGGAAUUCCACGUGUAGCAGUGAAAUGCGUAGAGAUGUGGAGGAACACCGAUGGCGAAAGCAGCCCCCUGGGCCAAUACUGACGCUCAUGCACGAAAGCGUGGGGAGCAAACAGG